UACGUAGGGUGCGAGCGUUAAUCGGAAUUACUGGGCGUAAAGCGUGCGCAGGCGGUUUUGUAAGCCAGAUGUGAAAUCCCCGGGCUUAACCUGGGAAUGGCAUUGGUGACUGCACGGCUAGAGUGUGUCAGAGGGGGGUAGAAUUCCACGUGUAGCAGUGAAAUGCGUAGAGAUGUGGAGGAAUACCGAUGGCGAAGGCAGCCCCCUGGGAUAACACUGA
rnacentral:rRNA from 1 species